UCAGGACAAGGUUUGCAGUCACUAUUAAUUCUAUAAAUAAUGUUCACAAUAUUUUUGAACCUGUUUUUUUUAACAUAACAACGUAACUUCCGUCAACCAACUCAUAAGUAAUAGAAUAUGAUUCAAAUUCUAAUUGAAUUCGAUAUUAAUCCUCUCUGUCAUUUUUAUUAAUCGUGUGUUUAAAACAUAAGAUUGUCCACAGGCGUUAUAAUCUCUAUGGAGAUACCUAAACUUUUUGCUGAUUUUGUCGACACUUUUUUGUUUGGUUGGCGA